AUUGAACGCUGGCGGCAGGCCUAACACAUGCAAGUCGAGCGGAGCGGCGGACGGGUGAGUAAUGCCUAGGAAUCUGCCUGGUAGUGGGGGAUAACGUCCGGAAACGGGCGCUAAUACCGCAUACCAUCGGAUGUGCCCAGAUGGGAUUAGCUUGUUGGUGGGGUAACGGCUCACCAAGGCGACGAUCCCUAGCUGGUCUGAGAGGAUGACCAGCCACACUGGAACUGAGACACGGUCCAGACUCCUACGGGAGGUAGCAGUGGGGAAUAUUGCACAAUGGGCGCAAGCCUGAUGCAGCCAUGCCGCGUGUAUGAAGAAGGCCUUCGGAUUGUAAAGCACUUUAAGUUGGGAGGCGUUACCAACAGAAUAAGCACCGGCUAACUUCGUGCCAGCAGCCGCGGUAAUUC
rnacentral:rRNA from 1 species